rnacentral:tRNA from 1 species
GGGCCUAUAGCUCAGUUGGGAGAGCGCAUGACUGGCAGUCAUGAGGUCGGCGGUUCAAGUCCGCCUAGGUCCA